GACGAACGCUGGCGGCGUGCUUAACACAUGCAAGUCGAACGGAAAGGCCCUGCUUUUGUGGGGUGCUCGAGUGGCGAACGGGUGAGUAACACGUGAGUAACCCGCCCCUGACUUUGGGAUAUCUCUAGGAAACUGGGGCUAAUACCGGAUAGGAGCUCCUGCUGCAUGGUGGGGGUUGGAAAGUUUCGGCGGUUGGGGAUGGACUCGCGGCUUAUCCGCUUGUUGGUGGGGUAGUGGCUUACCAAGGCUUUGACGGGUAGCCGGCCUGGGAGGGUGGCCGGCCUCAAUGGGCCUGAGGGACGGCCCAGUCUCCUACGGGACGCAGCAGGGGGGAAUAUUGCACAAUGAGCGGACGCCUGAUGCAGCAGCGCCGCGUGCGGGAUAACCUCCUUCUAGUUGAGAACCAAUUUCGCCGGUGACGAAGCGUGAGUGACGGUAAUUGGUAAGGAAGCACCGGCUAACUACGUG
rnacentral:rRNA from 1 species